GAGCCAUGAUGUAAAUAAAUUAUUCCUGAAGUAUAUGUGAAAACAUAUUUCAUGAGGGUUUCUACACUUGAACUGAGCUCC
rnacentral:snoRNA from 1 species